ACGUGUGGUAAUGCGGUAUUUUGGCAACUCUGCAUGACCCUAGGAGGCUUGGCUCGGUUUACAAAUUUGACAAGUACUGUACGUGAGACCUCAAACCUUCCAUUACCAUAACUGACAAUGACCCCCAUAGAAGAAAAGUACUGUAUGCAGGUGAGUGAAAAUUAACUGCCGCGACCUUAAAUUCCACAAUUUUCCAAAAGGUUCUUGGUUUGGUUGAGGUGCUUGAACAUUGCUUGUCAUAAGGAUUAAACUUUCCGCCAGCAAUAUUCCACACAUAUACGCAGUGACCAUUUUGUCCGUGACCAGUACCUAAUGGUCAUAUUCUUCAUAAUUUGGAAGUUGAUGUACAAUAAUGACUUAAAUUACAAGUGUUCAAAAUAAGAUGGAUAGUAGUGCCCCAGAUAUGCUGAUGGACACAGAAGUUUGUCC